CAGACUUGUUCCAUAAGGUCUACGGAGAUUUUCUGAGGCUGGAGGCUGACUGACAGCAGAGAAUCACUGGAGCAGAUGCCUGGAUUCAAUGUGAACUUUUUUUAAGCCUUUGUUUGAGGGAGCUGCCAGGAGCACAGCUACAGCCAAAUAAUUCUUUGCAAUGUCAUCAUUACCAGCAACAGUUACAUUUUAAAAAGCAUGAAAACAAGAGCCAGUGGUUGACAGCCCCCUAAACUUCUGCCAGAGCUGCUCUUUGCUGACAGUGUCCACACUGGGUAGCCCAAGGCAGUGUACAG